rnacentral:rRNA from 1 species
UACGUAGGGUGCGAGCGUUAAUCGGAAUUACUGGGCGUAAAGCGUGCGCAGGCGGUUGGCAAAGUCAGCUGUGAAAGCCCCGGGCUCAACCUGGGAAUGGCGGUUGAAACUAGUCGACUCGAAUCUGGCAGAGGGGGGUGGAAUUCCACGUGUAGCAGCGAAAUGCGUAGAGAUGUGGAGGAACACCGAUGGCGAAGGCAGCCCCCUGGGCUGAGAUUGACGCUCAGGCACGAAAGCGUGGGGAGCAAACAGG